rnacentral:rRNA from 1 species
UACGAAGGGGGCUAGCGUUGUUCGGAAUUACUGGGCGUAAAGCGUGCGCAGGCGGCUGCUCAAGUCAGGGGUGAAAGCCCAGAGCUCAACUCUGGAAUUGCCUUUGAGACUGAGUGGCUUGAGUACGGGAGAGGUGAGUGGAAUUCCCAGUGUAGAGGUGAAAUUCGUAGAUAUUGGGAAGAACACCAGUGGCGAAGGCGGCUCUCUGGACCGAUACUGACGCUGAGGCGCGAAAGCGUGGGGAGCAAACAGG